rnacentral:tRNA from 1 species
ACGUGGCUGGCUCAGUUGGUAGAGAACGUGACUCUUGAUCAUAGGGUUGUGAGUUUGAAUCCCACGUUUGGUG